rnacentral:misc_RNA from 1 species
ACCAAGUGAAGAUGAUGCUGGAUCUAGGUCCCUUCUCGGACGAGAAAUUCGAUCCGAAGAAAUGGAUCAAUUCAGCUUGCCAGACUCGCCAUCCACAGGAAUCUCUGGACAAGCACCUGGUGGAUCUCGAAAUGAAGCUUCAAAUGGUGUCAGAGGAGAUCGCCGCCUCUCUCGAAGAGCAGAGCGCAGCUUCCCUCCUCCGCGUCCCGCGUGCCACUCGCGAUGUCAUUCGCCUCCGUGAUGAUGCCGUCUCCCUUCGCAAUUCCAUUUCUGCAAUCCUCCAGAAGCUCAAGAAGGCUGAGGGAUCCUCGGCGGAAUCUAUAGCUGCACUUUCUAAAGUUGAUACCGUCAAACAAAGAAUGGAAACCGCUUAUGAGACUUUGCAGGAUGCUGCUGGGUUAACUCAAUUAAGUUCGACUGUAGAGGAUGUAUUUGCCAGUGGUGAUCUUCCGCGAGCUGCAGAAACCUUGGCCAACAUGAGGCAUUGCUUGUCUGCUGUUGGAGAGGUUGCUGAAUUUGCUAACAUUAGGAAGCAACUUGAGGUAUUAGAAAGUAGGCUGGAUGCAAUGGUACAGCCUCGUCUAACAGAUGCAUUGUCAAAUCGCAAGAUUGAUGCUGCCCAAGAUUUGCGGGGAAUUCUCAUUCGAAUUGGGAGAUUCAAGUCUCUGGAGAUGCAUUAUACGAAAGUUCACCUAGAACCCAUAAAGCAGCUCUGGGAAGAUUAUGACUCUAGACAACGAGCUAGUAAGUUUGCGGGUGAGAAGAAUGAAUUAGAAAGGCUAUCAGGCAAUAAUGACUUGCCUAUGAUUUCAUUCUCAAGUUGGUUGCCAAGUUUCUAUGAUGAGUUGCUGCUUUAUCUUGAGCAAGAAUGGAAGUGGUGUAUGGUUGCUUUUCCUGAUGAUUAUAAAAUUCUUGUACCAAAACUACUAAUUGAGACAAUGCAAGCUGUAGGGGCUAGCUUUGUUUCCCGUAUCAAUCUUGCCACUG